rnacentral:lncRNA from 10 species
GCUGGAACCUAUCCUCUGCUACCCCAAGCUCAUAAUGGUGUGGUUUUUCACAACCAUAGUCACAGGGAUUGUGGAAUACCCUCAGGCAAGACGAGAUUUUCCAUGUCUACUCUGGUGCCAUUACUGGAAGAUCCUUCCAUUUUCUACAAGGGAUUUUUACCUAUAUUGUUGAGAAGUGGAAUCCCCUUUGGUAGCUCUGUACCUUCAGCUUCUCCCUCUGUGGUAUCCAUUCCCUGCCACAACUAUAGAAUCUGCAAUCUGGAAAAAAUGACAUAACCACUAAAAA